GUCCGCGUAGAGUAGUGGUCAUCUCGCCAGAAUCACAAAAGUUCCCCAGACCCCCCAGUCAGGAGAACCAGAAAUGGCUCUGGAUAUCGCCGGUUCGAACCCGGCCGUGGGCA